AGUGAAUAGAUACCCAGGUAGUCCACGCUGUAAACGAUGAGUACUAGGUGUUGCGGGAAUUGACCCCUGCAGUGCCGUAGCUAACGCAUUAAGUACUCCGCCUGGGAAGUACGGCCGCAAGGUUAAAACUCAAAGGAAUUGACGGGGGCCCGCACAAGCGGUGGAGCAUGUGGUUUAAUUCGAUGCAACGCGAAGAACCUUACCUGGGUUAGAAGACGUCGGACAGUCCUAGAGAUAGGAUUUCCUCUUCGGAGGCCGACGGUUAGGUGCUGCAUGGCUGUCGUCAGCUCGUAUCGUGAGAUGUCGGGUUAA
rnacentral:rRNA from 1 species